rnacentral:misc_RNA from 1 species
AAAGUCGUAACAAGGUAACCGUAGGUGAACCUGCGGUUGGAUCAUUAAUAAAUUAUUUGUAGUCUUAGUCUUAGGGGCUCUUGAGCCCCCAUGAGGAUUAAGAUCAGUCUCCGGGCUCUCGAGCCCUCUCAGUUGGUUAGCGACAGCGCCAGUGGGGACUACACAAAACACCUGUGCACUUGAAUGUAUCUUGGAUAGGAAGUUUUCUUAUCCAAAAACUUUUUUAAACCCCUUUUGAUUAAUGUCUGAAUUAUUUUAUUAAAUUAUAAACAACUUUUGACAACGGAUCUCUAGGCUCUC